CGUGUAGGCGGCUCCUUAAGUCUGAUGUGAAAGCCCCGGGCUCAACCUGGGAAGUGCAUUGGAAACUGGGGAACUUGAAUACGGGAGAGGGUAGUGGAAUUCCUGGUGUAGGAGUGAAAUCCGUAGAUAUCAGGAGGAACACCGGUGGCGAAGGCGGCUACCUGGACCGAUAUUGACGCUGAGACGCGAAAGCGUGGGGAGCAAACAGGAUUAGAUACCCUGGUAGUCCACGCCGUAAACGAUGAGUACUAGGUGUUGCGGGUAUUGACCCCUGCAGUGCCGCAGCUAACGCAUUAAGUACUCCGCCUGGGAAGUACGGUCGCAAGACUAAA
rnacentral:rRNA from 2 species